rnacentral:tRNA from 1 species
UAGAAUUUAGUUUAUCUAUUAAAACACUAAUAUGUCAAAUUAGAAAAAUUAUUAAUAAUUCUCA